rnacentral:rRNA from 1 species
UGGGGGAUACUGCACAAUGGGGGAAACCCUGAUGCAGCGACGCCGCGUGUAGGAAGACGGUCCUCUGGAUUGUAAACUACUGUCCCCAGGGACGAAGAUGACGGUACCUGGGGAGGAAGCUCCGGCUAACUACGUGCCAGCAGCCGCGGUAAUACGUAGGGAGCGAGCGUUGUCCGGAAUUACUGGGUGUAAAGGGAGCGUAGGCGGGGAUGCAAGUUGGGU